rnacentral:rRNA from 1 species
CGCACGGGUGAGUAACACGUAUCCAACCUGCCGUCUACUCUUGGACAGCCUUCUGAAAGGAAGAUUAAUACAAGAUGGCAUCAUGAGUCCGCAUGUUCACAUGAUUAAAGGUAUUCCGGUAGACGAUGGGGAUGCGUUCCAUUAGAUAGUAGGCGGGGUAACGGCCCACCUAGUCUUCGAUGGAUAGGGGUUCUGAGAGGAAGGUUCCCCACAUUGGAACUGAGACACGGUCCAA